rnacentral:rRNA from 1 species
GUCAGAUGUGAAAGACCCGGGGCGUCAACCUCGGAAUAGCAUUUGAAACUAGGCAGACUAGGAGUACUGUAGAGGGGGGGUAGGAAUUUCAGGUGUAGCGGUGAAAUGCGUAGAGAUCUGAAGGAAUACCGGUGGCGAAGGCGGCCCCCCUCGGACAGAUACUGACACUCAGAUGCCGAAAAGCGUGGGGGAGCAAACAGGAUUAGAUACCCCUGGUAG